UACAGAGGUCUCAAGCGUUGUUCGGAUUCAUUGGGCGUAAAGGGCGCGUAGGCGGCGGGUAAGUCGGGUGUGAAAUCUCGAGAGCUCAACUCUGAAACUGCACUCGAUACUGCUCUGCUUGAGGACUGGAGAGAGACUGGAAGUUCACGGUGUAGCAGUGAAAUGCGGCAGAUAUCAGGAGGAACACCAAUGGCGAAGGCAGCUCGCUGGGACGUGACUGACGCUGGAGACGCGAAAGCGUGGGGAGCAAACAGG
rnacentral:rRNA from 1 species